GAUGAACGCUGGCGGCGUGCUUAACACAUGCAAGUCGAACGAAGCACUUUGGACGGAUUCUUCGGAUGAAGUCCUUAGUGACUGAGUGGCGGACGGGUGAGUAACGCGUGGGUAACCUGCCUCAUACAGGGGGAUAACAGUUAGAAAUGGCUGCUAAUACCGCAAAAGCGCACAGUACUGCAUGGUACAGCGUGAAAAACUCCGGUGGUAUGAGAUGGACCCGCGUUGGAUUAGCUAGUUGGCAGGGUAACGGCCUACCAAGGCGACGAUCCAUAGCCGGCCUGAGAGGGUGGACGGCCACAUUGGGACUGAGACACGGCCCAGACUCCUACGGGAGGCAGCAGUGGGGAAUAUUGCACAAUGGGGGAAACCCUGAUGCAGCGACGCCGCGUGAGCGAAGAAGUAUUUCGGUAUGUAAAGCUCUAUCAGCAGGGAAGAAAAUGACGGUACCUGACUAAGAAGCCCUGGCUAACUACGUGCCAGCAGCCGCCGUAAAAC
rnacentral:rRNA from 1 species